rnacentral:rRNA from 1 species
AGAUUGAACGCUGGCGGCAUGCCUUACACAUGCAAGUCGAACGGCAGCACGGGAGCAAUCCUGGUGGCGAGUGGCGAACGGGGUGAGUAAUACAUCGGAACGUGCCCAGUUGUGGGGGAUAGCCCGGCGAAAGCCGGAUUAAUACCGCAUACGACCUACGGGUGAAAGCGGGGGAUCGCAAGACCUCGCGCUAUUGGAGCGGCCGAGUGUCGGAUUAGCUUGUGGUGGGUAAAAGACCACCAAGGCUACGAUCCGUACGCUGGUCUACGGAGAGGACGGACCAAGGCCACACUGGGACUGAGACACGGCCCAGACUCCUACGGGACGGCAGCAGUGGGGAUUUGGACAAGUGGGACGCGAAGCCUAGGAUCCAGCCGAUGCCGCGUAGCCGGGAAGAGGCCUUCGGUUAGUAAACCGU